UUGACAGCCGUCAUAACUGACCGAAUGCUGGCCUACCCCAGUUGAGUUUUUUUUUUUGCCUGAAGGCACUUUUCGGCAUUCUUCUUUCCGUAAAGAGGAUAAAGCUACCUCAUGAUCAACCUCAGACCCACUUAUAGCCAAGUUCUCAAUGUGGUGUCCAACACAAGUGACGAGGUCGGAGAGCAAAUAUUUUGCCCAAAACCGUUUGGACAUGGGCCGCGUGGUGCCAACUUCCCGGCUUUUGUCCAGAUCAAUGCAGCUGCUACUGACGGUGCUGAUGCUGGCCACGGUCGCAAGAGUUGCAAAUGGUUGUUCGAUAUCAGGUAUGCUCUAAAUUAGUUGCACUAAAAAUCAUGAUUCAAACGUUUCCUCUGCACUAUUGUGGAGGGGGUUGGGAAGGGUACAGGUGGACUAUGGCGGGUGAGGUAUGGGAUACAAGGACAGAGAGGCACACAGCAUCAAUAAGAGAGAGGUAUAUAUAGUUAUAGACAACAUAAAGAUACAUACAUAUAUGUAUGUCAAGUAAGGGCUCAAAGUACGCGGCAGGGGUUAGGUUCUGCGUAUCCCCACGUACGUGCGAAUUUGCAUAAGUUGUGGUACGCCUAUACGAGUGUAGAUAUAAAAUGUAAGAGGGUAUAUACAAUGAAUACAAUGUAAAUACAUGUGUAGUGGCAUAGUGCUAGCUGCUGGCGAAAAAGGGGAACUGCGGUGUACAGCAGUACUGACGUCAGCAGGCUACGAUAGACAUGAGAGGGGGACAUCUAGGGGAAAGGUCACAGAGGGGGGCCUAUCGGGAAAUCCUUUGAAACCCGCUAGUAGAUUCCAGAGAGGGGGCGUGGCCGGGGUGGAGCGAGGCCACGCUGAGAGUAUAAUACGGGCCCCUGUGAGGGACCUCGGGGCUGUCGUUGGAGUGGAAUCCCUGGCGUGCUGUUCAAGAUAAUCGCCAUCGUCGCUGUAGUUUAGUUGCCAUCGUCACUGUCGCUUUCACUCGAUAUUGUGCUGCUAGAUAGUUGUUGGCUGUCUCGGUUCAGCACUGUCAGUGUUAGACGGUUAGUGUUUUGUAUAGGCUAGCAACCCACGUUGCGUUGUGUAUAGGCGAGUGACUGUAGAGUGUGAACCCAUGUAGGUGUGCAUAAUCCGAUGGUGCUCGUUAAAUAAAAGAGGUGCCUCCAAGUCUUAUUGUCUCCGAGUUAGUCACUACAUUUGGCAUGAGAAGUGCUAAGAAAAAGAAAAUUUGUCAUGUCAAAAGUGGCGAAAAGGAAGAACCCACCGGUAUUGUUCUUGGAGGAGGAGAACCACGGGGACGUCAUCCCCUCAACAGCCCCGGGAUCUGGGACCACGGUCAUCUGUCCCGAGGCUGUAGCACCUAAAGAGCGCCUG